rnacentral:rRNA from 1 species
CGAACGCUGGCGGCGUGCUUAACACAUGCAAGUCGAGCGGUAAGGCCCUUUCGGGGGUACACGAGCGGCGAACGGGUGAGUAACACGUGGGUGACCUGCCCUCAGCUCUGGGAUAAGCCUGGGAAACUGGGUCUAAUACUGGAUAUGACUCCACGGUGCAUGUCGUGGGGUGGAAAGCCUUGUGCGGCUGAGGAUGGGCCCGCGGCCUAUCAGCUUGUUGGUGGGGUGAUGGCCUACCAAGGCGACGACGGGUAGCCGGCCUGAGAGGGCGACCGGCCACACUGGGACUGAGACACGGCCCAGACUCCUACGGGAGGCAGCAGUGGGGAAUCUUGCGCAAUGGGCGAAAGCCUGACGCAGCGACGCCGCGUGAGGGAUGACGGCCUGGU